rnacentral:rRNA from 1 species
GAGAGUUUGAUCCUGGCUCAGGAUGAACGCUGGCGGCGUGCCUAAUACAUGCAAGUCGAGCGAACGGACGAGAAGCUUGCUUCUCUGAUGUUAGCGGCGGACGGGUGAGUAACACGUGGAUAACCUACCUAUAAGACUGGGAUAACUUCGGGAAACCGGAGCUAAUACCGGAUAAUAUUUUGAACCGCAUGGUUCAAAAGUGAAAGACGGUCUUGCUGUCACUUAUAGAUGGAUCCGCGCUGCAUUAGCUAGUUGGUAAGGUAACGGCUUACCAAGGCAACGAUGCAUAGCCGACCUGAGAGGGUGAUCGGCCACACUGGAACUGAGACACGGUCCAGACUCCUACGGGAGGCAGCAGUAGGGAAUCUUCCGCAAUGGGCGAAAGCCUGACGGAGCAACGCCGCGUGAGUGAUGAAGGUCUUCGGAUCGUAAAACUCUGUUAUUAGGGAAGAACAUAUGUGUAAGUAACUGUGCACAUCUUGACGGUACCUAAUCAGAAAGCCACGGCUAACUACGUGCCAGCAGCCGCGGUAAUACGUAGGUGGCAAGCGUUAUCCGGAAUUAUUGGGCGUAAAGCGCGCGUAGGCGGUUUUUUAAGUCUGAUGUGAAAGCCCACGGCUCAACCGUGGAGGGUCAUUGGAAACUGGAAAACUUGAGUGCAGAAGAGGAAAGUGGAAUUCCAUGUGUAGCGGUGAAAUGCGCAGAGAUAUGGAGGAACACCAGUGGCGAAGGCGACUUUCUGGUCUGUAACUGACGCUGAUGUGCGAAAGCGUGGGGAUCAAACAGGAUUAGAUACCCUGGUAGUCCACGCCGUAAACGAUGAGUGCUAAGUGUUAGGGGGUUUCCGCCCCUUAGUGCUGCAGCUAACGCAUUAAGCACUCCGCCUGGGGAGUACGACCGCAAGGUUGAAACUCAAAGGAAUUGACGGGGACCCGCACAAGCGGUGGAGCAUGUGGUUUAAUUCGAAGCAACGCGAAGAACCUUACCAAAUCUUGACAUCCUUUUGACAACUCUAGAGAUAGAGCCUUCCCCUUCGGGGGACAAAGUGACAGGUGGUGCAUGGUUGUCGUCAGCUCGUGUCGUGAGAUGUUGGGUUAAGUCCCGCAACGAGCGCAACCCUUAAGCUUAGUUGCCAUCAUUAAGUUGGGCACUCUAAGUUGACUGCCGGUGACAAACCGGAGGAAGGUGGGGAUGACGUCAAAUCAUCAUGCCCCUUAUGAUUUGGGCUACACACGUGCUACAAUGGACAAUACAAAGGGCAGCGAAACCGCGAGGUCAAGCAAAUCCCAUAAAGUUGUUCUCAGUUCGGAUUGUAGUCUGCAACUCGACUACAUGAAGCUGGAAUCGCUAGUAAUCGUAGAUCAGCAUGCUACGGUGAAUACGUUCCCGGGUCUUGUACACACCGCCCGUCACACCACGAGAGUUUGUAACACCCGAAGCCGGUGGAGUAACCUUUUAGGAGCUAGCCGUCGAAGGUGGGACAAAUGAUUGGGGUGAAGUCGUAACAAGGUAGCCGUAUCGGAAGGUGCGGCUGGAUCACCUCCUUUCUAAGGAUA